AGCAGCCGCGGUAAUUCCAGCUCCAAUAGCGUAUAUUAAAGUUGUUGCAGUUAAAAAGCUCGUAGUUGAAUUUUAGGCCUGACCGGACGGUCCGUCUCUGGCGAGUACUGUUCUGCUGUCGGGUCUAUCCUUCUGGUGAGCCGGUAUGCCCUUUAUUGGGUGUGUCGGGGAACCAGGACCAUUACCUUGAAAAAUUAGAGUGUUUAAAGCGGGCUUUUGCUUGAAUAGAUUAGCAUGGAAUAAUAGAAUAGGACGUUGGUUCUAUUUUGUUGGUCUAGGACCACCGUAAUGAUUAAUAGGGAUAGUUGGGGGCAUUAGUAUUCAAUUGUCAGAGGUGAAAUUCUUGGAUUUAUUGAAGACUAACUACUGCGAAAGCAUUUGCCAAGGAUGUUUUCAUUAAUCAAGAACGAAAGUUAGGGGAUCGAAGACGAUCAGAUACCGUCGUAGUCUUAACCAUAAACUAUGCCGACUAGGAAUCGGG
rnacentral:rRNA from 1 species